GUCGUAACAAGGUCUCCGUAGGUGAACCUGCGGAGGGAUCAUUACAAGAACGCCCGGGCUUCGGCCUGGUUAUUCAUAACCCUUUGUUGUCCGACUCUGUUGCCUCCGGGGCGACCCUGCCUUCGGGCGGGGGCUCCGGGUGGACACUUCAAACUCUUGCGUAACUUUGCAGUCUGAGUAAACUUAAUUAAUAAAUUAAAACUUUUAACAACGGAUCUCUUGGUUCUGGCAUCGAUGAAGAACGCAGCGAAAUGCGAUAAGUAAUGUGAAUUGCAGAAUUCAGUGAAUCAUCGAAUCUUUGAACGCACAUUGCGCCCCCUGGUAUUCCGGGGGGCAUGCCUGUUCGAGCGUCAUUUCACCACUCAAGCCUCGCUUGGUAUUGGGCAACGCGGUCCGCCGCGUGCCUCAAAUCGUCCGGCUGGGUCUUCUGUCCCCUAAGCGUUGUGGAAACUAUUCGCUAAAGGGUGUUCGGGAGGCUACGCCGUAAAACAACCCCAUUUCUAAGGUUGACCUCGGAUCAGGUAGGGAUACCCGCUGAACUUAAGCAUAUCA
rnacentral:rRNA from 1 species